UACGGGGGGGGCAAGCGUUGCUCGGAAUCACUGGGCGUAAAGGGUGCGUAGGCGGGUCUUUAAGUCAGGGGUGAAAUCCUGGAGCUCAACUCCAGAACUGCCUUUGAUACUGAGGAUCUUGAGUUCGGGAGAGGUGAGUGGAACUGCGAGUGUAGAGGUGAAAUUCGUAGAUAUUCGCAAGAACACCAGUGGCGAAGGCGGCUCACUGGCCCGAUACUGACGCUGAGGCACGAGAGCAUGGGGAGCGAACAGG
rnacentral:rRNA from 1 species